GUAAAUUUAGCUUAUAUUAAAGCACCUAACUGUUAAUUAGAAGAAUACAAAAUUUACU
rnacentral:tRNA from 1 species